rnacentral:rRNA from 1 species
UGACGCUUAACUGGUCUGAGAGGAUGAUCAGUCACACUGGAACUGAGACACGGUCCAGACUCCUACGGGAGGCAGCAGUAGGGAAUAUUGCGCAAUGGGGGAAACCCUGACGCAGCAACGCCGCGUGGAGGAUGACACUUUUCGGAGCGUAAACUCCUUUUCUUAGGGAAGAAUUCUGACGGUACCUAAGGAAUAAGCACCGGCUAACUCCGUGCCAGCAGCCGCGGUAAUACGGAGGGUGCAAGCGUUACUCGGAAUCACUGGGCGUAAAGGGCGCGUAGGCGGAUUAUCAAGUCUCUUGUGAAAUCUAAUGGCUUAACCAUUAAACUGCUUGGGAAACUGAUAGUCUAGAGUGAGGGAGAGGCAGAUGGAAUUGGUGGUGUAGGGGUAAAAUCCGUAGAUAUCACCAAGAAUACCCAUUGCGAAGGCGAUCUGCUGGAACUCAACUGACGCUAAGGCGCGAAAGCGUGGGGAGCAAACAGGAUUAGAUACCCUGGUAGUCCACGCCCUAAACGAUGUACACUAGUUGUUGGGGUGCUAGUCAUCUCAGUAAUGCAGCUAACGCAUUAAGUGUACCGCCUGGGGAGUACGGUCGCAAGAUUAAAACUCAAAGGAAUAGACGGGGACCCGCACAAGCGGUGGAGCAUGUGGUUUAAUUCGAAGAUACGCGAAGAACCUUACCUGGGCUUGAUAUCCUAAGAACCUUUUAGAGAUAAGAGGGUGCUAGCUUGCUAGAACUUAGAGACAGGUGCUGCACGGCUGUCGUCAGCUCGUGUCGUGAGAUGUUGGGUUAAGUCCCGCAACGAGCGCAACCCACGUAUUUAGUUGCUAACGGUUCGGCCGAGCACUCUAAAUAGACUGCCUUCGUAAGGAGGAGGAAGGUGUGGACGACGUCAAGUCAUCAUGGCCCUUAUGCCCAGGGCGACACACGUGCUACAAUGGCAUAUACAAUGAGACGCAAUACCGCGAGGUGGAGCAAAUCUAUAAAAUAUGUCCCAGUUCGGAUUGUUCUCUGCAACUCGAGAGCAUGAAGCCGGAAUCGCUAGUAAUCGUAGAUCAGCCAUGCUACGGUGAAUACGUUCCCGGGUCUUGUACUCACCGCCCGUCACACCAUGGGAGUUGAUUUCACUCGAAGCCGGAAUACUAAACUAGUUACCGUCCACAGUGGAAUCAGCGACUGGGGUGAAGUCGUAACAAGGUAACCGUAGGAGAACCUGCGGUUGGAUCACCUCCUUUCUA